CGACUGGGGCACUGUCUCGGCGGGGGGCCCGGCGAAAUU
rnacentral:rRNA from 1 species